rnacentral:lncRNA from 1 species
CACACACACACACACACACACACACACACACACACACACACACACACCAGCUCUCCUUAGUCUAAAAACCCUUCAAAUGCUCUUUCUAAGUAAGUUGAUGCAGUUAAAAUGUUAUCAAGUUCUCACCUGAAGCUCAGUUUACUGUAAGCAACGCCACACACCCUACCAAUUUUAUCAUUAAGAUUUAUGCUUUAUUUGACUAUAAAUAAUCCCAAGUGACUCAGAGAGUGGACAUUGGCCAGAUCAAGGUCUGAUUCGUAGAUGUUUCCUGAGGAAGGUCUAGAGAGAGUCCUGUGGGUGCCUGAGUGUGACGUCACAUUUUCUGACCUCAGAGCUUCAUUUCCAGAAACAGCAGCUUCUCUCGAACAUAGGCAUCUUUGCCAUGUAUCAUAAAUUCCCACAAUAAAAUGGAUAUAAUUGGCAUAACAAUUGAAAAUAAUUAACGAUACCUAUUGUAUAGGUGUUUAUCACUGUAACCUUAGUUUGUAAAUAUAAUGUGAUACAGAUAAUUACAUAACUCCACACCCAGCCUGGAAAUGUUUUUAGGGAGUGUUCGAAGUUUAUAGAAACAGAGGAGCUGUGUCCUAAGGAUCCCUGUGAACAACAUUCAGAGUUCUCCCGAUGUCCCUGUGCUCUGUGCCCCCAUGACAAUGAUACUGAGCAGCUCUGGCCCUGCGGCCAGAAACAUGGCGGAUCUUGGGAACAGGAAAAAGAGGGGGAGAGGUGUAAGCAUAUAGCGGUAACUAGGGAGAAAAUGGAGGCCAGGCAUGGUUUGGGUGUGUUGUGUGUUAGGAAUGGUUUUCUUAGAGGAAAAAGAAAAAAAGCUAGGUCGAGGGAGCAGCUCAGAGGUAGCAAGCUUGUGUGUGUAUCUCUCCCUCCUCCCCUCUGAGAAGAGAAAAGAAAGGGGAGGGGGUAGAGUUGUAAAACGAUGUUGCUUGGUGCAAAGCAUGCUCAUGACCUGGAAAAGGAAGUCCAUUUUCAUUUUAAGAAAAGUUCCAGCAAGGGCCUGGAACCUGUUGGGCCCUGUUCCGAAAUCUGUUUCUCUGUGUCCUCAAGGAGAGAAGCAAGGUGCAGUGAAAUUAAUGUUGUUAUUGUUUUCAAUAGGAAGUGGAAGAGGGUCUGGGUGAGGGCAGGGGACCAGAGCGAUGCCUUCCUUGAGGCACCUGCCAGCAAGGGCUGGAGCUGUUUCUAUGGCAAGUCACUAGAUGCAGAAGAGAAAGCAGUUCGUUGCACACGCAGGGACUACCACCACAAAGCCCCUGCAGGUCUGUAGCCGUAACUCACACACCUCUCAAAGCAGCUUGGGUGAAGUCAGAGGUACAGAAAUGAGCACAGCCAUGCAGCCCAGGGACACCAUGCAUUCUUGCUCUCUAUUCCAGGGAAUACUAAUACCUCCUCUAUACAAGUUUUAAAGCCCCCUUAGCAACAAAUACUUCUGUGUAAUUUCUCUCUUGAAAAGAUCUAAUACAAAUCUAGUUGAUCUACCCAUCAAACUUAGCGGAGAGCUGGACUGAAAAUGUAACUACCGAUAGGAUGCUUGCCAGGCACAUGGGAGGCCCUGGGUUUAGUCUCAGGUACCACAAAAUAAGUAAGGAGAAAAAGAAAGAAAGGUUUCUUUGGCCCUUCCUUCUGUUGGGUGCAUCUCCCCUUAAUUGCUUCACAUGGCUGUGCCUCGGUAAACACUCCACUUACUACCGUGUCGGACAUCCUGUCUGCACCUGAGAGCAGCUCUGUACUCAACUAAAGCUGUCAAGUACUUCAAGGCUCUCAGACUUUGAGAGAGUCUGUUUUGCAUCUUAAUAAUUAUUUACCCAGGUUCCUUAUAAUUAACUCCUCUAGUCUUUCAGAUUAAAUCAAUUUCACAUUGCAAGUCUGCGUUACUCUGGAAAGCUGCCAACUUUCCCACUCUUGAAUCAGAUUGUUCAAAGAUGCAUCUAUCUCCCUGUCUGGGCUUGCAAACGUUCAUCUUGAGGAACUUCCACCCUUUAGUGCCCGGCCUUCCACCCUCCCCUUGCUUGCUGCUGCUUCCUGGUGAAUGGCUCACUGUGCUGGGCGAAUGUGCCUUUAUCUUCUAUUCAUCUCAUCUUCCACACACUGCUAGCAUCUCAUAACCUCAACACCAUACAGGAGUGAUUAAGACUUUAAUUUUUCAACAUUGAAACGGCAACAACAUAGCAAUCUGGGGUCAGUUAUAUUUAGGAGGCUCUGUAAUUAAUUUUGUUAUUACCUCUUGGAGGAAAGCCCAAAAUGAUAUGAGAAAAUACUGUGAAACGUUUUAACAGAUGUCCAGCAAUACAAAAAUAGGGCACUCAUGAUCCACUGCACAGUGCUUCUCUUAGCUCCGUGUUAAGGCUCUAACUCCUUAUAUUAAACACUUUCUGAUCCCCUC